AAGUCGUAACAAGGUUUCCGUAGGUGAACCUGCGGAAGGAUCAUUAACACGUUAUCCAACGUAACUACCAACGCGCACUGUUUUCCCCUCUCUCCCGUUGCCUCACAUGUAUCGGCUUAUGUGCUCAGAGAAAUUUGGAAGGGACUUGGUUUCGGCCUCGUCUUCUCUGGUACGGACACGCUUGCGCAAGCGAGCAAACGAUAGUAGUGAGCCGCGGCUAUCGCUGCUUUGCUGGAAAUCUCCGCCAAGAUUAUGAGCAUUGUGGCACAUUUAAUAACGAUUUUCACCCCUUUUUGCUAGUUGACUUUUUAAUCUGUUGGCGCUCUCACUUUAUUGCGAGGCUCAGCACGUUUGAUCUAAUUGAACGUAAAAUAAUACAACUCUUAGCAAUGGAUAUCUUGGUUCUC
rnacentral:misc_RNA from 1 species